AAACCUAGUCUAUAAUGAAGUUCUAUCUUUUAGUCCUUGAGUUUAUGAAACAAUUCUAAGCUGCAAAACAGCUGUUUGGGAUGAACCCAACCCCCUCUUUGUAUUUUUUGACUCAGCAGAAUAUCUACUGUCAUAUGGUAUUUAAUUUUCUUGGUCAGAUUUGAUUGUUUUUUGGUGGGUCUCAAUCAAUCUAAAUUGGCAAAAUAGAAAUCUUGACAUCAAUUCUAGGAUGUAGGUAACCCACCACUAAUGCUUAUUGAAACCUGCUUUUGAUGCUUGUUAUAUUCCCUUUUUUUAAAUGUUGAUUAGAAUCUUCUUCUACCAAUGAAGGUGCAUGUUCAGUCCAAUCCAGCUGGAUGCUUGGUUAUAUCCCGUCAACCAGCGCAACUGGAUAAUCCUUGGGGAGUAACACCUUUUAAAAAGGAUGUUAGCUUCCCUUCCAGAAUUGAUCCACAUCAAACAUCUGCUGUUGUCACCCUGCACGGACAUUUGUUUGUUCGUGUCCCGUUUGAACAGUCAGAUUUAUAGAAUGUGGAGAUAACGGUCCCCUUUCCCAGACACAAAGAUUGCCGCUUCAGUUUGUGUCUAGAAGAUGAAUUAACUUCAUGUGGACAAUUAGAAGUUGAAUUUUGCAGUGUAAGUUUUAUUUUUUCUAGUCAUGCUUAUAGUUGAAGCUCAAGCCUACCUGAUUGGGUAUGCAUGCAUUUACAUUAAUCUAGUAUUAUGUAAUUAAUAAUUGUAAGAUGUUAUAAUUAAAUAGUGAUGAUGGGACCAU